rnacentral:lncRNA from 1 species
ACAAGAGUAAAUGCUCACAGGUGUAGAACAUUCUGCUUUUUCAUCUUUACAGUAGUAUAAGGGCAUCACCUCUUGAGUAGGGACCACGCUCAGAGUGAUCGUUCCAGGCGGAUGCUGUACAGCACAGAGCUCCCUUGCAGAUGCUGGGCAGCAGCCGUGAGCUGCGGGUCCAGCAGGUUCCUGGAUGGCCGCCUCAAAGGCUUGCUCUCUGCAGCUGAAGUGAUGCUGACCUCUGAUGCCAGGU